UAUUAGGUUGGUGCAAAAGUAAUUGCAGUUUUUGCAAUUACUUUCAAUGGCCAAAACUGCAAUUACUUUUGCACCAACCUAA
rnacentral:miRNA from 1 species